CUGCCGAAGCAACCAGCCCUGAAAAUGGAUGGCGCUCUAGCGUUUUGCCUAUACUCGACCGCCGAAUCGGAGCCGGCACCUUUCGAAGGCGCGGGGCCCUUAUGAUUCGGUGAGUAGGGAGGCGCGGGGGCGAGCGUAGAAGGGUCCGGGCGCGAGCCCGCCUGGAGCCGCCCUCGGCGCAGAUCUUGGUGGUAGUAGCAAAUACUCAAGUGAGACCCUUGAGGGCUGACGUGGAGAAGGGUUCCAUGUGAACAGCACUUGCACAUGGGUGAGUCGAUCCUAAGCCGUUGGCGAAAGCCGUUUCCAAUCGUCGGGCCAUCACGCGUGUGCCUGCGUCGCGCCAUCUCAGCCAAAGAGACGCGCCCCGCUCGCGCUUCGGCGUGCGCCCCUGGGGAGUAAGGCGAAAGGGAAUCCGGUACUCAUUCCGGAACCCGGACGCGGGGAGUAGCCGGGGCUUCGUCCCCGGCCUAGCCGCAAGGCGUAUGCCCGCUCGGGGAUGUCCAACCGGAGGGCCGGGAAGAGUUGUCUUUUCUGGUUAAGGGGCCGAGGGCCUUGCGAAUCGGGUCGGUCGGAGAGAGGGUCUUGGCCCCGAAGAGCGCCGCGGUUCUUGCGGCGUCCGCGCCGCUCCGGUCUGGAACUUGAAAACCCGAGGGCGAGAAUGCGUACCUUCGCGCCGGUUCGUACCCAUAUCCGCAUCUGGUCUCCGAGGUGAACAGCCUCUAGUCGAUGGAUUAAUGUAGGUAAGGGAAGUCG
rnacentral:rRNA from 1 species